rnacentral:rRNA from 1 species
CCUACGGGGUGCAGCAGUGAGGAAUAUUGGUCAAUGGUCGGGAGACUGAACCAGCCAAGCCGCGUGAGGGAUGAAGGUACAGAGUAUCGUAAACCUCUUUUGUCAGGGAACAAAGGCGGGGACGUGUCCCCGGAUGAGUGUACCUGAAGAAAAAGCAUCGGCUAACUCCGUGCCAGCAGCCGCGGUAAUACGGAGGAUGCGAGCGUUAUCCGGAUUUAUGGGGUUUAAAGGGUGCGCAGGCGGUCUGUUAAGUCAGCGGUCAAAGCCCGGGGCUCAACCCCGGCCCGCCGUUGAAACUGGCAGUCUCGAGUGGGAGAGAAGUAUGCGGAAUGCGCGGUGUAGCGGUGAAAUGCAUAGAUAUCGCGCAGAACUCCGAUUGCGAAGGCAGCAUGCCGGCUCCACACUGACGCUGAGGCACGAAAGCGUGGGUAUCGAACAGGAUUAGAUACCCGAGUAGUC